UUUCCGUAGGUGAACCUGCGGAAGGCUCAUUACUGCGUGAGGGUCUCUCAGGCCCGACCUCCCACCCUGUGUUUUUGUGACCUUGUUGCUUUGGCGAGUCCGCCUCGAUGAGAGGCCGCCGGAAGCUCAACGCUUUCGGCCCGUGCCCACCAGUCGCCACCCGAGAUUCUUAAUAGACGUCUAGUCUGAGCCGAAAUAAAAUAAAAAAAACUUUCCACAAGGGAUCUCUUGGUUCUGGCAUGAAUUAAAAAGGCAGCAGACCGAACGAGCACACGAUAC
rnacentral:misc_RNA from 1 species